AUGUCAUAUAGGAGCAAUAACCCUGAGAUCUCAUCAUUUGCCUCUAGUUAUCCAAUGCAGGGAUUUAGGUAUGAAGAGGAGAGCCACAACUAUGCUCCACAACAGAUUUAUUCAGCUCCUAGUCAUAUACCUCAACACCAGGACAUGUUGCCAAUGGAGUUAAAUGGUCCUCCAUUUGGUCAACCAACACCUUCAACACAAGUGCCCACACAAGAUGACUUUGAUGAUAUAGACAAGCUCACAUUGCUUAGUCUUGAGUUCACUUGGAGUGCCGAGGAUGAUCCUAUUAGGAAGGUUAUUCUAGAGGAAAUGAAGAAGAUCGAGAGUGGAAAAGAGCUAGUGGAAGAAGUAAGGAAUAUUGAGAAGAACAUCAACGCUGGCAACACUAUUUCUUCACAACUUGAGUUGAGUGUGGGUGAGAUAUCCAUGGAUACAUGUGAGGUUCCAACACCUUCACAUUUCGUUGAGCAAGAUAGCAAGUGCCUUGAGCAAGAGAUACCUCAGAUUGAAUAA
rnacentral:rRNA from 1 species